rnacentral:rRNA from 1 species
UACAGAGGGUGCGAGCGUUAAUCGGAAUUACUGGGCGUAAAGCGUGCGUAGACGGUUAUUUAAGUCGGGUGUGAAAGCCCCGGGCUCAACCUGGGAAUUGCAUUGGAUACUGCGUUGCUUGAGGAUUGUAGAGGAGAGUGGAAUUCACGGUGUAGCAGUGAAAUGCGUAGAUAUCGUGAGGAAGACCAGUUGCGAAGGCGACUCUCUGGGCAAAUCCUGACACUGAGGCACGAAGGCUAGGGGAGCAAACGGG